rnacentral:rRNA from 1 species
UGGGGAAUAUUGCACAGUGGGCGCAAGCCUGAUGCAGCCAUGCCGCGUGUAUGAAGAAGGCCUUCGGGUUGUAAAGUACUUUCAGCGGGGAGGAAGGGAGUAAAGUUAAUACCUUUGCUCAUUGACGUUACCCGCAGAAGAAGCACCGGCUAACUCCGUGCCAGCAGCCGCGGUAAUACGGAGGGUGCAAGCGUUAAUCGGAAUUACUGGGCGUAAAGCGCACGCAGGCGGUUUGUUAAGUCAGAUGUGAAAUCCCCGGGCUCAACCUGGGAACUGCAUCUGAUACUGGCAAGCUUGAGUCUCGUAGAGGGGGGUAGAAUUCCAGGUGUAGCGGUGAAAUGCGUAGAGAUCUGGAGGAAUACCGGUGGCGAAGGCGGCCCCCUGGACGAAGACUGACGCUCAGGUGCGAAAGCGUGGGGAGCAAACAGG